AGGGAAUCCGGUGCGAAUCCGGGACUGACGCGCAGCGGUGAGGACGGGGAUCGCGACCACGAGGCCACUGGUGCCGCCGGACCGCUCGUCCGCCGGCCUGGGAAGGCGGUCGCGAUCGAUCUCGUCCGAGUCCGAAGACCU
rnacentral:ncRNA from 1 species